CCACCAGAUGAUGAAGAAUUGAUUGCUUUUAUACUAAAUGGUCUAGAUGACGAAUAUGAUCCUAUUGUUUCGGCUCUAGUUGCUAGGGUUGAACCACUUACACUAUCAGAUGCAUAUGCACAACUAUUAAGUUUUGAGA
rfam:Oryza sativa (indica cultivar-group) chromosome 2, whole genome shotgun sequence.